UUUAAGUGUAACUAUAAGUUUCCAUAUCUAACUUUAAUUAUCCGUCUUAUUUCAAUUUUUUUAUGAUUAGUAUUUUUAUUGUUAUUAGAUGAUAAAACAUGAAUAAUAAUUUAUGUAUAACUUAUUAUUUUUUUUCAAAAAUUUUUUAAACAAGAUAAAUGAUUAAAGUUGGACACGAAAACUGUGUUUAAA
rfam:Oryza meridionalis cultivar OR44 (W2112) chromosome 2, whole genome shotgun sequence.